CUCCAGCAGCAGCUGCCCCAUCUGCAGCCGGCUCACCUGCUGCUGCACGUUGGCAGCCAGGCCUGAUGGCCCAGAUGGCUUCCACUGCAGCCCGUGUGGCUGUGGGCUCUGCGGUGGGCACUCCCUGGGUCAUGCCAUCACUGGGGGCUGCAGAGGAGGAACCUGACAUCACUAAACAGGAGCCUCAGGGAGCCCAGCUGCAGCAGGACCAGCAGUCUCCUGGAUUUUGCUCUCUGGAGAUCAAGCAGUUUCUAGAGUGUGCUUAGAACCAAGGCGAUGUCAAGCCCUCUGAGGGCUUCAGAGAGGUGCUGCGGCAGUGCAGGAUUGCAAAUGGUUUAAUCGAAUCAAGAAAUUCAAGCUGGAGAAAUGUAAAGUUUGUUCUGUAUAAUUAAUAGUUAGAAGCAUGGACCCUUAUUUCUACCAGCUCAAUUGCUUCAGAAUGGCCGUGAAAGAGAUGUAACUGUAGAUGUUUACUGAGGCUUGUAGUGUUGGUUAUUGGGCAAGUGUUUGGCCUCCUUGAAUUGUGUUGUAAGUUUUAAAAAAAAAGUUUAUUCUGAAAAAAAAGGAAGGAAGGAAGGAAAGAAGGAAGGAAGGAAAGAAAGAAGGGAAAAAAGAAAGAAAGAAAGAAAGAAAGAAAGAAAGAAAGAAAGAAAGAAAGGGAGGAAGAAAGGAAGGAAGAAAGAGAAAGAAAGCUAGUUCUUCGGGUGAGUUGUCCUCAUUUGGAUUUAUGUUCAGGAGAAGCCAGCUGCAGGAGCAGAUGCAGUGGUUUGAUAGUAGUCCUGGUGUUAACUGUUGGUGAUGGCACUUCUGUCCCCAUGAGGCUCAGAGAGAAAGUCACUGGGAUACUGGUUUGGAAAAUUUAGCUUAUACCGCAGUGGUUCUCUACCUUUGGGUUUCAAUACCUUUGGGGUUGACAGAUCUAUCCACAGGGGUUGCCUAAGACCAUCAGAAAACACAGAUAUUUACACACUGAAGUUCAUAACAUUAGUAACAUUAUAAUUAUGAAGUAACAACAAAAUAAUUUUAUUUUUGGGGGACACCACAAUAUGAGGAACCGUAUUAAAAGGUUGCAACAUUAGAAAGGCUGAGACCCACUGGUUUAUAGGGUGUUGUUGUUGUCUUAAGGUAAGAUAUCUAAGUAGUGAAGAAGGGAUGGAAUAGGAAAAGAAUAAAGGAAGGGAAAUGUUUAAGAAAGAAUAUGGAUAGAGGUAUCUGGAGAAAUAGAAAAAGUAUUGUAUACUAGAUUCUGAGAAAGGGAUAGCAGAUAUCAAAGCCUGUGAAAUCAGAAGCUAGUUACAACACAACAAAUGAAUUAUUAAAGUAUAACUAAAAAGUAUAACUACUAAUAUUUAAGUAAAUAAAAACAUGAAAAUUAAAGAUUACUAUAGUAAAAAUAAAAAUGGGCAAUACAAUGAGAUGAAGGAUAUUGCAUUUCCACCCUGAUUCUGAUUUUUUUUUUUUCUGGUUGGGGUGGUAUGGUUUCUCCUGCCUGAAAUUUACAUUGUCUUUUAUUAUUAUUAUUUAUUUUAAAAGUCCAGAGUUCAUAAAUAAGAAGGGUUGAUAGUUUCGGUAAUCUAAACAAGUAAGCGUCCUUUUAGGAAAAAAAUGUUUCUGUGGUCAAAGACCAUUUUCUGACCGUUUCUCAUGCCUGAUUUCCCCAGGUUGUAAGUUAUAUCUCUAUCUCAUGCUUUUCAGACAAGUCUGGGCAGAGCUCUCUAUGUCUGGAGCUCCAAGGAAGAGCACGGAAGAUACAAAUAAAAAAGAGAAACAAAACAUCUGAAAAAAAAAAAAGCCCGUAUCACAAGGACAAGGGCAACUAUGUUAGCCCAUUGUGAACUAUGAAGAGAAAUGACUGGAUAGGAAUUCCAACCCUUCAGAAAGAGCGUGGGUUUAAACAGGAGUCUAGCAUGGCUGUCCUCUGAGAGUCCCUACCAGCAGCUGAGACAAAAGCAGAUACUUAGAGCCACCCAUUGGACUGAAGUCGGGGGCCACUAUGGUUGAAUUAGAGGAAGAACUGAAGAAGUUGAAGGAAAAGGUAACCCCAUAGGAAGACCAGCAGUCUCAACUAACCCAGAGUCCAGGGAGCUACCAGAGACUGAGCCACCAAUCAGGCAGCAUACACCAGCUGGCCUGAGGCCCGAGCAGAAGACUGCCUGGUCUGGCCUCAGUGGGAGAAGAUGUACCUGAUCCUUGAGAGACUUGAGGCCCCAGGGAAUGGGGAGGCCUGGUGGGCGGGAAGCACCCCCUCAGAGACAAGGGGGAGGAGGAAUGAGAUGAGGCACUGUGGGAGGGGGGACCAGGAUGGGGGGACAGUGGCUGGAAUGUAAAUAAAUUAAAUAAUUAUAUAUAAUAUAUUUUAUACCCCUAAUUACCUUUUACCCCUUGUUUUCAUGGUCACCAUACUUUAACACUGGAUGGGGAAGGUACUCUCCUGGCCAGGUAAGCACAGAUCCUAAUAGGUAGUUAUUCUAUUUCAAAGUCUUUGAAGAAAAAAGGUAUUGUUUGAGUGUCAGGCAUUGUUAUGAACAUCCUGCCUUUUCGAAGCCCAAAGGGAUAGACAAAGGAUCUUAGUAUUUCAAAGCGUUCUAGGAAGGCUGAAUACUGUCCAACAUCUGUCAUAGUUUGCUUUCCUUUGCUGUGACCAUCCCCAUGACCAGGAGCAGAGGGCUCAUGACCAGGAGCAGAGGGCCCAUGACCAGGAGCAGAGGGCCCAUGACCAGGAGCAGAGGGCCCAUGACCAUGACCAGGAGCAGAGGGCCCAUGACCAGGAGCAGAGGGCCCAUGACCAGGAGCAGAGGGCCCAUGACCAGGAGCAGAGGGCCCAUGACCAGGAGCAGAGGGCCCAUGACCAGGAGCAGAGCAGAGGGCCCAUGACCAGGAGCAGAGGGCUCAUGACCAUGACCAGGAGCAGAGCAGAGGGCUCAUGACCAGGAGCAGAGGGCCCAUGACCAGGAGCAGGAGCAGAGCAGAGGGCUCACUUCAUCUUUACAGCUUAGUCUGUCACUAAGCGAAGUCAUGGGAGGAACCCACACAGAGCAGGAACCUGGAGGAAGGAGCUGAUGCAGAGGCCGUGGAGCAGUGCUGAUUACUGGCUUUCUCAUCAUGGCUGGCUCAACCUGCUUUCUUAAGAACCCAGGACCACCAGCCCAGGAUGGGCUCCACCCACAGGAAACUGCAGCACAGGUCUGUAGUCUGGUGAGGAAUUUUCUCAGUUGAAGUUUCUUCUUCCAAAAUGACACUGGCUUGUGUUGAAAUAAAACUAGCCAGCAUGACCUGCCUGUUUGCUUGUGCAAAAAUUAGUUUGCCUUUGCAAAUAGAACUUAAAUUAUUCCAAUAACCAGUGCUACCUGCCCCUGAAGUGAGAGGGCAGUACAAAGACAUGGGGCUUUUCCAUUUGGGAGAUAUGAAACAUUGUGCCAACUCUUUUAACUGAAAGGGUCAUGAUUGUAGGGAUUUGUUAUUGAGAACUUAUUUACCCCUUUCUAGAGAAUUAGCAGCAGUUCUAACACAGUUAAAUGAAUAGAAUUAUCAGUCUUUGAGUGAAGUCAAUUUUAUGACUUGCUGUUUAUUGGGACUCAGCCAAUUCACAUAGCUUUUCCACUUCCUUAGUUAGAAUUCCAAUGUCAUCCAGCCUGAAGCUGGCCAAAGAGCUCAUGAUUUGAUAUAAUUGGCAUAUUGAGGGGUACAAAUUGAAUUUCCAAACGAUUUUAAGAAUUUGCAAAUAACAACUUUGAAUAUCUUUCAUGAUGAUUGAAAAAGGAGUGUGUCUACACAGAUUAGAGACUUGACUUAGAUCAUCAUCAAUUUAGACUGGAUAAUUAGAGGAUAUAAUUUUUGGCCCAGUGGGAUGUGUUUUGAAUUCAACACCAGUUAUUUUCAGUAGAAGGUAAGGUCUGAGUAUUUCAGAUGGAAUUGUACUAUGUUCAUUUACCAAUUCUAAAGUGAAGGACCCCACUCUUUUCCUGGCAUUGCCUAUUAGAAGUAUGGUGUAAUAAAUUAAAAUUUAGACUGAAGUAAGUUAAAAAUAGAAAAUUUCAUCUUUAAUAAAUCGAAGAAUUAAAAGUUUGUAAACCCAUGGUAAUUCAGCAGUUUUGUCUCUAUGUGCAUAACUACAUUGAUUUUUCUAAAGACCAAACUUCUUUCUUUAUUACAAAAACAGAGUUACAACUCAAAAUGCACUGUAUUCUCAAUGCACAAGAUAAAAAAAUAGUAGGGAUUUAAAUUACAAGCCAAAGCCCAUUGUAGGUGAGUCUUCUCCAGUUUUAACAGAAGCUUCAAAUCAAGUGUUCUCUGCGUCCCCCAGAAAGGAUGAUUCAGAACUUGAUGAGAUCAUUUGGGCCAUCUAAGAAAGAUUGUUACAUCAUGUUACUGUGAUCUGAGUGCCCUAUUACAAUGAUUAGAACAUUUUGAGUCAUCAAAUUUAGUUUAUUGAUUACACUCUAGAAAUCCAGACUAUGUAGAAGGUGUACUGGCUGGUUUUGUAUGUCAACUUGACACAAGCUAGAAUUAUCACAGAGAAAGGAGCCUCAGUUGAGAAAAUGCCUCCAUGAGACCCAGCUGUGAGACAUUUUCUCAACUAAUGAUCGAGGGGGGAGGACCCAGUCCACUGUGGGUGGUGCCAUCCCUGGGUUGGUAGUCUUAGGUUCUAUAAGAGAGUAAGUUGAGCGAGCCUGGGAAAGCAAGCCAGUAAGUAACAUCCCUCCAUGGCCUCUGCAUCAGCUCCUGCUUCCUGACCUGCUUGAGAUCCAGUCCUGACUUCCUUUGGUGAACAGCAACGUGGAGGCAUAAGCUGAAUAAGCCCUUUCCUCCCCAACUUGCUUCUUGGUCCUGAUGAUUGUGCAGGAAUAGAGACCCUGACUAAGACAGAAGGGAACAAUACUAACAGCCUCUUUGGUGGUGUGAAAGUCUAUUCAGGAGUUAAGACAAUGUAAUGCAAAUAGACACACUCUCCUUUUGCCCUCAGACAGUCACUUCCUCCAGAAAUCUCUGAAGAAUGAUAGCUCCAUCCCCCACCUGCUGCCACGUUGACUGCAGUUAAACAGUUUCUGAGUAGGACUUGACCUCAGCCAUAGAUCACUGACUUGAACGAAGAGCCACCCCUACUAAGAAAUAAGCAUCUCAAGGCCAAUGGCUGAUUGAAUGGCUGGGAGAGAAGACUCCACAUUUGCUUCAGUUUGUGGCAAUAACAGAGGGUCAUCCUCACUCAUUGAAGAGGGACUCCUCAAUUUUGGGAGCUUUGCCAGAAAUGCCUUUUCUUAUCCUUUGAAAUCCUUAAAGCAUCAGGAGGGAUGAGUGAACAGAUUUGUGGGUGGAUGACCAGGCAAACAUAAGAUGAAGAGAAUUCUGAGUUUAAAAACAAAACAAAGCGUUGGGGAUUUAGCUCAGUGGUAGAGCGCUUGCCUAGCGAGCGCAAGGCCCCGGGUUCGGUCCCCAGCUCCGAAAAAAAGAAAAAAACAAAAAACAAAACAAAAAACAAAGCAACAACAACAAAAAGCAGCUAAAGAUCCUACAUUCAUGACCUCCCAAGCCACUUAAAACAUGGAACACAACAUUGUUGUACAGGAGGAAAGGGGUAGAUACACUUUCAAGUUGACUAAAUCCAAAUGAUAUUUCCAAGAUCACAUUUAUGAUCUUGACUUGUUAAUGACCUAUGCCUCUUGCUGUAAGAUUUAGCAUCUCUUGACUCCAUGAAUUAUACUACAAGUCACAGCUCAGUGACCGCAAAGAGACCUACCUAAAGGUUAUACGAGUGUCCCAACACUGAGUCAUGAAGGGCUUCGCAAAAGGUUCCUUCCUCUUGUUGAACACAGGGUUCUGCCUUGUUCUAGAGAACAAAGCUGCAGACUACAGAUUGCUUCUGUGUCUGGGGCCUAAACAGCUAUAAAAUGAUUCCAUUUCCAGAGGAAAUAGCAGUCUCAGAUUUCUCUGGUACAAAAUUUUUCCUUUUUUUCCCCCUUAAUCUCACUGGCCAAAAUACUCAGGUAAAACAUUUCUAGGAAUGGUUUGAAAUGAGGAUAUUAAGCAUUUCUUUUAACCAUAUUCUACCAUUCGAGGAAAAGUACUUUCUUCUUUUAUUGGUGCUUAUUAAAGAACAUUUCACAGUCAGUUCUUCCGCUAUAUACAAAAUAUUUAAGUAUUAAAAUCAUCUCCUUAUAGCCAUAAAGUAAAAUCUAUGGACUUAAUCAUUUAGCACAUGAUUGCUCCAAAUAGAUGUGGAUGUAAGUGGGUGUAAUAUUGAACCAAAUAGUGACCCCCCCCAAAGGUUAAAGCAGGCAUGUUUGUAGCUCUCUCCCAGCUGUGGUCUCAUCGUAACCUUUGAGGUGGUCUGCAGUGACAUUAUUCAUUUGAAACAGGGCAAGCUAUUUUUAAACAGGCACAGUUAAAGUCACAUUCAAUAAAUGCAUUCUAGACUGAAAAUCUUUUAACUAUUUAUAAAAAAAUAGGUGUUUAAUUACUGGGAAACAUUAGUUAUCCUGAAGUGCAUUGGUGCAUAAGGUAGUUAGAAAAAAUAGGGAACUUACAGAAAAAUUGGAAAUGAUAGUGGCUUACUACCAAAAGCAACUUCUAGCAAAAAGUGCUUUUAGUAAAAAAGGAUAUAUCCCUUUGAGCCAUGAACAAAUAUAUUAUUCAACCCAGAAGUUCUUUGUUCAACAUGACUGAAAUGAUUUUGGUCUAAUAAACCUCAGUAAUGCUCCCAUGAAAAAUAAAUCUUAAACAAAAUAGCUUUCUGAUGAACUGACAAUACAAUUCAAGUCAAUAAAAGGAACUAGGAGGCCUGAGUCAACUAUCUUAUGGAGGGCAUGUUUUAAAAGUAGAACUCCUGUCCUGUCUUCAGUUGUGUACCCACUGCUGAGUUCACCAGGCUCCAAUGGAUAAUUUCAAUCUCAAGGUCACCCAGAGAGAUAGUCCUGGUUAAUCUCAGUGAGUCAAAAAACAAGAGGAAAAGACACAAACAUGGAAGAGAGAUUUGUAGUACUCAGAAGGACAGACAGAGUGGUAGUAAAAUAGGACUGUAAAACAGCUUACUAUCCUUGGAGGACCAAUGUAGAGUGGUAAAAAUAUAUGAGUGAAUAAAGAAACGCACGCACACACACACACACACACACACACACACACACACACACACACACAUUUUGCCCCUGGAGAUCAUUAGGUACUAGAAACAUUUAAGUGAAAUAAACAAGUACAAUAAACAAAUAAAAUAGCAUAUUUAGCAAUGGAAGAUUACCUUCUGUCUGACUAUAAGGAGAUAGAGAAUAGAUGCCACACAUUCAAAUAAUUGAUAUAUUUGAGCUUUAAAGGGAAUAGACAAUCUACCUUCGAGGACAAGAAAGACUACAUCUGCAUUCUUGUCUAUAAGGCUAGACUGCAGCGGUGACAGAGGCAGAGAAGAAAGUAAGGAUUGUAGUGCACUAAUUUGAACAACCUGAGAGGCUCUGUGUGACUGGAAUCUUUAGCGUGCACAUCAUUUAACUUUAAAAUUUAAAGUAAAUGAGCAAUUAGAUGACUCCUAGAACUGAACUCUUCAUUUGCCAAAGUGUCUCAGUUGUUAGUUAUUUGAUUGCUGAAACCAUGCUACUUUAAUAACUCAAUAGGUCCUUCAUCAUAAUCUACAAAAAUGCCUUCGCUGCUUGUUCGUUACUCCCUAAGAACAUUUUAUGCUCGGUGUGGCUCUCUACUUUUCUUUUUCUGCAUGUAAUUUGUUGUGUUGGGCAGAUGCUGUGACUUGAGGCAUCGUGGGAAUGGACAGGGUAAUUUCCAAAGAAGGAAAGGCAUACCCUUGAAGACAAUUGAUAAUCUAUUCUGCUAAGUGGACAUGGUGUUAAACUGCCCCCUAAAUUUGUAUCUCUUUACCCUUAAUGGUCCAGCUUUCAGACUUCAUCAGGAGUGUAUCUUUUUUUUUUUUUUGCAUUGGCUGUGGUUAAGGAGGAGACUCACAACUGCUCAGAGUAUAAAGAAUAAACGUCUUGCUUAAAGACAUCUCUAUUGCCUCCCACAACCAAGGCUCAGGAACCAUCAGGGAAGUGAAGGUAGAAAGACUGUAAGAGCCAGAGCUCAGGGAGAACCAGGCUGAAACAGUGCCUCUGGAUGUGACAUAAAUUACAGUAUCUGUGCUUGCCUACACAGGACUUGUGCAAGAUCAAGCCAAUGAAAACUCUAGAAUGGGAGGAAGAGGGUCUCAUGAGGCCCCACUCCUAAUUGAGGAGUUAUUGACAAUGAUGUAUGCUGGGGAGGGACAAUCAGCUUUCUGCAAAAGUGUGGCCACUAGUAAGUUGACCUUCUUCCAGUGGAUGGACCACACAAAUUGGACUCGAUGUGUUACUGCAAAUGAAAGCAAAGUCAAAUAGAAGACAGGAAGUUGGGAAGGGUAGCCAAGUUGGGAGCAGACCUGAAGGGAAUCAGGAGGAGGAAUGAGGGUGAAUCAAAAUACACUGUAAGAAAUUCUCAAAGAAUUAAUAACCUUGUUCUAUUUAUUUUUCUUUAAAAGUUUUAAUUAACAUGUUAAUUAUACAUAUAAAUCAGUGUGAUGUUUCAGCACACACAGUGCACACUAAUCAAAUCCAGCCUUUUGUCAUUACCAUCUGUUUCUGGCCUUUACUCAUCACUAUUCUGUAUCCAAGCUGUCUUAAAAAACAAACAAACAAACAAAAACAAAAACAACAACAAAAAACCGGAGCUUGCAUGAAACUUAGCUGGUAGAGUAUUUGCUUGGUAUCUUAAAAGCCCCGGGUUUCAUCUGCAGCACGUCAUAAAGCAUGGGUAUGGCACACAUCUAUCCAGUCUCAGUAUUCUGUGCAGAAGGAUCAGGAACCCAAGGUUGCUCUCUACUACGUAGGAAGUUAGAGACUGGCUUCAGAUACAUUAGAGCAUUUCAAAACAAAUAAGCAGCCUUCUACAUGUGAAAAGGAAUGUCUCGUAUCUUCCUCUCUGAGCUCGGUUUAUUCCAGUUUACAUGAUGUGUCCAGUUCUAUCCAUUUUUGAGAAAAUGACAAGGUUUCAUUCUUCUCUAUGGCUGACUAAUAUUCAUAUAUACUUACAUAUCUGCAUUCAUACAGCUGCUGGUAAGUUCAUCCCAUAUCUUGACUGUUAUGAGUAAUGCUGAAAAACGAGUAUGUGGAUAUUUCUUUGUUGUGCUGGUUUUAAUGGAAACUUGUGCCUUCAGUUCCCAUUUCUACGUCAGUUUGCUGGCCUCACUUCCUGACUGACUUAAUAAAAAGAAAAUAUUCAUCUGCAAAGCUGAUACCUGGGUCUAAGAGAGGGAAACAUCUUAAGACAGGUGAAAACAAAAACCUCAAGCAAGUUAAUGCUGAGACCAUAAACUUAUAAAUGCCUAGCAGAGUUCUUCCAACUUUUCAUUUAAAGCUGGAGAUUAUAAGAUACUGAAAGUCAGGCAAGGAAAGACCAAGUAUUUCCUGUCCUCUAUUCAGAAAGAAGACCACACGCAUUGUAAAAUUUCACCAUUAACUUCUUCAAAAUGUUUUCUUCCUGUGAUCUCUAUUCAGACAGUGACAUCAGAGUCAUGCACUACCAAGCUGCCCCCCAUGUGCUGUCUUGGGUUGUAGCCUUUGCUACGUUGUGGGGUUUUCUUUUUUCACCCUUUAUCCAUCCCCCCCCACCCCCUGUUUCACAUCUCUAUUACUAGAUAGAAGAGAAAGGCAUGGAACUCCUAGUUAGAUACCUUACUAGAUAGAGGACAGAGAGAGAGAGAGAGAGAGAGAGAGAGAGAGAGAGAGAGAGAGAGAAAGAGAGAGAGAGAGAGAGAGCUGCAUCUAUUUUUUUUUCCUUUUUUUUUUUCUUCUUUGAGCAUGACUGCUAACAAACCACAAACCAACUCCCCUCAACCACCACCAACCACAGUCCCUACCUCUUGGGGCCCCAGUAUUUUAUAUACCCUCUGAAAAUUUUCCUAGCAUUCCAAACGUCACCUAAUUGCAGAAAUGAUUUGUAGCUGGCAAAAACAUGCCUCUGCUAGAGCACGAGGCAAAUCAUCGUCAGUUGCUGUGAAGCACCUCCACAUUCCCGCACUGAGAUUAAAACGAGAGCAUAUUCCUAAAGUAUUUCUAUGUUUUUCAAAGAAACCAAGAUUCCAGAAUUCUCACUACAUUGGGUACUAUUUUAAACUUUUCUUAGUCGUAGAAAAUAAUAGAUUUAUUACGUUUUUGUGCAUGUAUAUGAUAGCCACUACACUCUCUUAAUCCUUGGCCUUUUCCCGUCUCCUAACGCCUCCCUUCUGCUUCCAUAUUGUUGUUUCUCUCCUACAGUCCCCAUAUGAGAAAGCACAUGUGUCGCUUGCCUUUUUGAGUUUGGCUCUCCUCACUUACCAUGGUAUCAUUGGUUCUUUGUACCCUUGCUGCCAUCAAGGUGGUUCAGGUCAUUAUCAUAUCUGUCCUCAACUACUGCACGAAUGCAAGGUCUCCGGACUGGCCUGCCAGCCUGUAGCACUUCUCUUUCAGCCCAUUUUGUGAAAGCAGAGAUGGCCACGGCGUUUCCUGGUUUAGAUCCUUCGAUGAGUCCUCAGUGAUGAUGGAUCACCACCUCAUCUGUCACCAGCUCAUCUCAUUCUGCCUUUCCAGUUUGGCUUCUCCCCUUGUACUCAGCACACACCUCCAGAUGACACUUCUAUACUUCUCAGCCUUUCAUUUAACAUCCUCUUUGCACAGAAUGCAUUUCACCUUACUCUGUUUUAAGACACAGUUUCAGUAUUAUAUCCUCUAAGAGUGGUACUGUUUUCUCUGGGCAGAGAACAUCCCAUGCUUCUUUUUAUUUCCUGGGUAGUUUGUAUACAUUUGUAGCUUAGCAUGAUAUUGUGGAAAUAUGUGGGUGCAUCAUAUAUGUGUGGUGUUUAUAUGUAUACACUAUGUGAACUCCUAUGCAUGUAUGCGUGUGCAUGCCUGUGUGUGUAGGCCAAAGGAGAGUUUUUUGUGUCCUGCUCUAUAACUCUCUGUCAUAUUUCCUUGAGAAAGGAUCCCUUGUUAAAUUAAAGUCUAGGCUGGCAGCCAGCAAGCCCCAGAAAUCUUCCUGUCUGCUCCCACUCACAGCAUUGGGGACACAGAUUUUCAGGAAGCCAUUUAUUCACAUAGCUAUACUUGCUAACGUACUAUCUUUUAACUGUUUGGAGUUACAUUUUGCUUUUCUCACUUACACUGUAAACUCUAAAAGGUGGGGGCUACCCUAUUUACCACCGUGUCUCCGGCUUUGCUCACUCACUGAUCCAGAGCCACCCCUCAGUAGACGGCUCGGUGAAAGUCCGAGCCAGCAGUUGUUUACUGGGUUUGCAUAGGAUACGUCUGAUUUUCCAAAAUGCUGAUAGAAACAACAUCAUCAGAAUGUCCUUAUUACAUUGAACUCCAUGGAGGAAAGCCACCGACAGGCCUCUAAUCUGCAUGGGUUCUACAGAUAAAGUUGUCUAAUUUCCCAAAAUUCUGUGUAAGAAAAAGUGUACAUUGCUCAGGAGAACAGUGUGUUCUUUGACACUAACUGUGAAAGCUUUCAACACAAACAUGUAAAUUUUCUUUGCCUCUGGGUUGUUUUCACUAGUCUUAUUUACGAGAUUACUUGUUUUCUUUACACACAACGGUUUUAGAGUACUCUGCUGUUAAGACACAUUCAGCAACCUCUAGUCAACCUAUUUAGAUUUCAAUGUUCUUAUCUGUGUAAUGAGGCUAAUGGUACUAAGCUGUUCUCCCAGGGAUGCGCCAUUAAAUGUGUCUUGACACUACACAGGCCCUGCAUACAUCAGCAAGGAUUUUCAAAAUAAAAUGUUCUAUAUGCCCAGAAAAUGGUUCCAUUUGGCAUUGUUUGAAGAGCAGGCACAUUUCCACAAGGGAACACUUGCACCAUCAGCAAAGAUUCCAAAACAGAUCUGAGGUAAAAAUUGUUAUGACUGCAGAUAAUGUUUUAUUUGGGGUUGAUAAGACAGGCAAGUAUGUCAAAACAUCCCACCCAUUAUUUUUAAUGGGGAGAGCAAGCCUCAGUGGAAUGGGAUAUUCCUGUUCUACAGUCAGUGUCCUUGCUGUUAAGAGGAUGUUAUAAUCUUUUCACCCUACGUAUGCUGCGUUGGAUUUGCCCUGAGUGUCUUCCUUGUUACUUUAAAUGGGACCAGAGCCCAGAAUUCCUGUGGUCAUGCCCUGCCCAGCAUAUUUUCCUGUCGUUUAAUGGUGCAACAGGGGCUGCGUUGCUCUUCCCCACAGCCCUGGCCUAGGUGAAUGUUCUCUUUUUCUGUAAUUCAUUUUUCUACCAUCCUGAUAGCUCAUUUGUUCUUUCUACUUCUUUAUAUAAAAGAAGCCAGUUUCCUUCCCAGUCCUGAGUGGACCCUGAGAGACAAGAGAGGAAAAGACACAGGAGAAAGGAGACAAUGAGUGGGAGCGGGGGUGGGGGGACAGUCGAGACAAAUGAACCCUGUUUUACUUCUGAGAUGCUGAGAGGCAGUGGGAUGGGUUUAGAGUUCCAUGAAAAUGAAGAGUGGGACAAUAUUGUGACAUCUAUCCUCCUUUCAUCUGGCUUCAACCUAGGUUUAGUGAUAGGUGAAUUAGCUAAUCACGGCUUCUGUGGACACCUAUAAAAGAGGAACUGCAGUCCAGAUAGGGGAAAUGGCAUGUAAAGUUUCAGGACUGGGUAGACUUGUCUCUGGCCCAUCCUUCCUCUACAGUCUAACUUGGUGUGCAACAGAACCAUAAAAACACCUUUUAUGGAAGCAUAGUGUACCCAGAGAAAGCAAUGCUUUACAAACAGUAGAAGUCAGAUGAACCCAGCGAAUUUUCACAAACCAAACACGCUCAUUAACUAGGGCAAUUUCAGACACACUUCUCUAUGUUUGUGUUGCUUUUACAGUUUAGUUUUCCGGGACCAUUCUCUGAUUCACUGAACCAGAAACUCAAGAGCCGAAGCCCAAAUGUUUAAGUAAAUUCCCCUGAAAAGACUUUUGCAGCCAUCUGGGCACCCAUUUCAUUUGUAAACUCUGCUCAGCUCACAGACUCAUGACUUGGGUAGAGAAAGACACUAACUAGGGCAGCUCUUAGUCUGGGAGGAAGGUCGACUAAGGGAUUCCCCUGAUUGGAGAAGUGUUCUAACAGUAGCUUAAGAAGGAGCAGAUGGCAGUCCCCCUGCAAUUGCCGCCUAGACUUCAUUUGUCUUUUAUUACUUUAUUGCUCGGUAAUAGGACCCCAAUUUCAGUGAAGUAAAUAGUCACCAAGCAUUCACACUUAUGGCCUCAUUUGAAGUUAAAUGUGUCUGUGAAACUGAUUUUUAGUCGUUUAGGCUCUGGGAACGUCAUGUGUAAGCUGGAAAAGUAAGUAAAAGUGAGGUACAUUCUUCCUGAUUCUUCCACCAUGCUGAGCAAUGGAGGAUGGACAUGCCUGGGACUAGAGAGACCGGCUAGGGUAGGAUGGAUAAGGGACAUCUACCAUGGAUGGGAGAUCAGAAAGCCUGAAGAAAUGUAGAUUUCCUUAGGAAAUUUUUUUAAGGAUUUCAUCCUGAACCUAUAAUACCAACUGUGAAUUUUGAACAGACUACCAUUUGUAGUUUAGCUAGUACUAAUUUGAGUUUUAUAAUACCAUAUAAAAGUGUCAAUAUAUCUAACUGAGACAAAGAUACUCUCCUCUAUUUAGGUAUGUCUGAAGGAUCUCAAUUAGAAGUAGCCAUCUCCCUAGAACUUAGUGUUCUGAUUUGCUCACCACCCCCUUUCCUCCUCCUCCUUGGCUAAAGAAAUGCUUGAGAGAAAAUUUUGGUUGUGAUAAUCAACUCUUAAUGAAAACAAAUGUGCUUUGUACUGUAGAGUAGAACCUUGCUGUCUGGGAACUGUUUAUGAGGUUGGCUUCUUGCCAUAGGCUUCCUCUGAACUUCGGCAGAGAGAGGUCUUAGCCUGUAUCUUGGAGCACUUUGGGGGCAUUUUCCAUAAAGUGCCUCAUUCUGUGUAGGUGGGUGUCAGUUUCAUCAUGUAAUAACUACAAAAGACUUUUGUGGUCUGGAGGUACAUGUCCAGCCAGGUGGAAACUGGUUCUACUUCCUAAAAAUAUGAAGCCUAGGUGUGUGGUCAGGUCACAAGCCAAGAAAGCCAGGGGGUGGGGGCUCUCACUUCAGUUCAAGUACUGAUGGAAACCAGAUCAUAAACUAGAAGUUAGAUUAGGGCUCAGGCACGGGUUACAAAGAGGGAGUCAAUCCAGGAGGAUCAGAUAUAUGCAGAUAGAGACUGACUGACUCUGUGGUGCAGCUCCCUAAAUGCUAGUACCUUGGUAUCUUAGUCAGGGUUCUUUAGAGUCACAGAACUUAUGGGCAGUCUCUAUAUAGUAAGGGAUUUGGUUGAUGACUUACAAUCUAUAGUCCAACUCUCCAACAAUGGUCAGCAGCAGCUGUGAACGGAAGUCCAAGGAUCUAGCAGUGGCUCAGUCCCAUGAGGCAGGCAGGCAUGGUGCAGGAGGAGCUGAGUUCUACAUGUUCACCCGAAGGAAGCCAGGAACAGACUGAGCAUCCUCCAGGCAGCUAAGAGGAGGGUCUCCAAGCCCACCCGCACAGUGACAUACUUCCUCCAACAAGGCCACACCUUCUAAUAGUGUCAAUCCCUGGGCCAAGGAUUUGCAGACCAUCAUACUUCUAUUCCUAACACUGUUUGCUCCCCCAUUGAGGAGUCCACUGGAAACCACCCUGAUAGGAGAUAGUAGAGCCUGAGGCUGAAGUGGGAAAGAGAAAAGUCAAUGAUGGAUUGUUGGUGUUCUUCUAAGAGUUGAACUCUAUCUUUUUUUUCUUUUUUCUUUUAUCUUUUUUAACUUGAGUAUUUCUCUUUUUUUUUGUUUGUUUGUUUGUUUUCACUCUGAGUUCUUAUUUUCCAAAUUCAUCCAUCUUGCUGUGUUCAUGGACUUCCUGAUAUAUGGGUGCUCCCCUUUAACUUACAUGCACACACACACACACACACACACACACACACACACACGGACGCACGCACGCACGCACGCACGCACGCACGCACGCACGCACGCAUGUACGCACACAAAACAGCAAAACAACAACUACAGAAACCUGAGAAACCUCUGAAUUCUUUUCCAUUUUGGCUGGAUUUUUAUCUUUUUAUUUAUUUAUUUUUUGCUGUGUAAUGAUGUGAUUUGUUUAUUUAAAAUGAUUUUUCUCCCAAGUUGCCCAAUGAUUUAGCAGGUUUUCUUUUACCUUCAUCUCAAACAAUCAACACACUUCCUGUAUUUUAUUUUCACCAGGUAUGCUAUUUUAACAUUACAUUAACUUGGCUGGAUUUUUAUAAAUGGCGAGAGAGAUGCCCAGGAGGACAAUUGCUGGGUGUGUGUGAUCUGAAGCUCUCAGAGAGGAAACUGCACCUAUGUUGAUUAUUCUGUGUGGAUGACUGACUAUUAGAACUCCAUGAUUGGGGAGGGUUGCAAUGGUGCCAAUCUGGAUUGAUUUAACUCCCUUAAUAGCCAUUUGGGGUCUACUUACUGUAUCCUAUGUAGCAUUCUUUGUGUGUGUGUGUGUGUGUGUGUGUGUGUGUGUGUGUGUGUGUGUGUGUGAGGCUGGCUUUGAACUCUUUUUUUUCCUUUUUAUCUUUAUUAACUUGAAUAUUUCUUAUUUACAUUUCUAGUGUUAUUCCCUUUCCCGGUUUCCGGGCCAACAUCCCCCUAACCCCUCUCCCUCCCCUUCUAUAUAGGUGUUCCCCUCCCCAUCCUCCCCCCAUUACCGCCCUCCACCCAACAAUCACGUUCACUGGGGGUUCAGUCUUGGCAGGACCAAGGGCUUCCCCUUCCAUUGGUGCUCUUACUAGGCUAUUCAUUGCUACCUAUGAGGUUGGAGCCCAGGGUCAGUCCAUGUAUAGUCUUUGGAUAGUAGCUUAGUCCCUGGAAGGUCUGGUUGGUUGGCAUUGUUGUUCAUAUGGGGUCUUGAGCCCCUUCAAGCUCUUCCAGUCCUUUCUCUGAUUCCUUCAAGGGGGGUCCUGUUCUCAGUUCAGUGGUUUGCUGCUGGCAUUCGCCUAUGUAUUUGCUGUAUUCUGGCUGUGUCUCUCAGGAGAAAUUUACAUACGGUUCCUGUCGGCCUGCACUUCUUUCCUUCAUCCAUCUUAUCUAAUUGGGUGGCUGUAUAUGUAUGGGCCACAUGUGGGGCAGGCUCUGAAUGGGUGUUCCUUCUGUGUCUGUUUUAAUCUUUGCCUCUCUAUUCCCUGCCAAGGGUAUUCUUGUUCCCCUUUUAAAGAAGGAGUGAAGCAUUCGCAUUUUGGUCAUCCCUCUUGCGUUUCAUGUGUUCUGUGCAACUAGGGCAAUUCAAGCAUUUGGGGUAAUAGCCACUUAUCAAUGAGUGCAUACCAUGUGUGUUUUUCUGUGAUUGGGUUACCUCACUCAGGAUGAUAUUUUCCAGUUCCAUCCAUUUGCCUAUGAAUUUCAUGAAGUCAUUGUUUUGAUAGCUGAGUAAUAUUCCAUUGUGUAGAUGUACCACAUUUUCUGUAUCCAUUCCUCUGUUGAAGGGCAUCUGGGUUCUUUCCAGUUUCUGGCUAUUAUAAAUAAGGCUGCAAUGAACAUAGUGGAGCACGUGUCUUUUUUAUAUGUUGACGCAUCUUUUGGGUAUAUACCCAAAAGAGGUAUAGCUGGGUCCUCAGGUAGUUCAAUGUCCAAUUUUCUGAGGAACCUCCAGACUGAUUUCCAGAAUGAUUGUACCAGUCUGCAAUAUCACCAACAAUGGAGGAGUGUUCCUCUUUCUCCACAUCCUCACCAGCAUUAGCUGUCACCUGAGUUUUUGAUCUUAGCCAUUCUGACUGGUAUGAGGUGAAAACUCAGGGUUGUUUUGAUUUGCAUUUCCCUUAUGACUAAAGAUGUUGAACAUUUCUUUAGGUGUUUCUCAGCCAUUCAGCAUUGAAUUCUUUGUUUAGCUCUGAAUUCCAUUUUUUAAUAGGGUUAUUUGUCUCCCUGAGGUCGAACUUCUUGAGUUCUUUGUAUAUUUUGGAUAUAAGGCCUCUAUCUGUUGUAGGAUUGGUAAAGAUCUUUUCCCAAUCUGUUGGUUGCCAUUUUGCCCUAACCACAGUGUCCUUUGCCUUACAGAAGCUUUGCAGUUUUAUGAGAUCCCAUUUGUCGAUUCUUGAUCUUAGAGCGUAAGCCAUUGGUGUUUUGUUCAGGAAAUUUUCUCCAGUGCCCAUGUGUUCGAGAUGCUUCCCCACAUUUUCUUCUAUUAGUUUGAGUGUAUCUGGUUUGAUUUGGAGGUACUAGAUCCACUUGGACUUAAGCGUUGUACAGGGUGAUAAGCAUGGAAUGAUCUGCAUUCUUCUACAUGUUGACCUCCAGUUGAACCAGCACCAUUUGCUAAAAAUGCUAUCUUUCUUCCAUUGGAUGGUUUUGGCUCCUUUGUCAAAAAUCAAGUGACCAUAGGUGUGUGGGUUCAUUUCUGGGUCUUCAAUUCUAUUCCACUGGUCUAUCUGUCUGUCUCUGUACCAAUAUCAUGCAGUUUUUUAUCACUAUUGCUCUGUAAUGCUGCUUGAGUUCAGGGAUAGUGAUUCCCCCCUGAAGUCCUUUUAUUGUUGAGGAUAGUUUUAGCUAUCCUGGGUUUUUUGUUAUUCCAGAUGAAUUUGUAAAUUGUUCUGUCUAACUCUUUGAAGAAUUGGAUUGGUAUUUUGAUGGGGAUUGCAUUGAAUCUGUAGAUCACUUUUGGUAAAACAGCCAUUUUUACUAUAUUAAUCCUGCCAAUCCAUGAGCAUGGGAGAUCUUUCCAUCUUCUGAGGUCUUCUUCAAUUUCUUUCUUCAGAGGCUUGAAGUUCUUAUUGUACGGAUCUUUUACUUGCUUUGUUAAAGUCACACCGAGGUACUUUAUAUUAUUUGGGUCUAUUAUGAAGGGUGUCAUUUCCCUAAUUUCUUUCUCAGCUUCUUUCUCUUUUGUGUAGAGGAAGGCUACUGAUUUAUUUGAGUUAAUUUUAUACCCAGCCACUUUGCUGAAGUUGUUUAUCAGCUUUAGUAGUUCUCUGGUGGAACUUUUGGGAUCACUUAAAUGUACUAUCAUAUCAUCUGCAAAUAGUGAUAUUUUGACUACUUCUUUUCCAAUCUGUAUCUCCUUGAUCUCCUUUUGUUGUCUGAUUGCUCUGGCUAGAACUUCAAGAACUAUAUUGAAUAAGUAGGGUGAGAGUGGGCAGCCUUGUCUGGUCCCUGAUUUUAGAGGGAUUGCUUCAAGUUUCUCUCCAUUUAGUUUAAUGUUAGCCACUGGUUUACUGUAUAUUGCUUUUACUAUGUUUAGGUAUGGGCCUUGAAUUCCUAUUCUCUCCAGGACUUUUAUCAUGAAGGGGUGUUGAAUUUUGUCAAAUACUUUCUCAGCAUCUAAUGAAAUGAUCAUGUGGUUUUGUUCUUUCAGUUUGUUUAUAUAAUGAAUUACGUUGAUGGUUUUCUGUAUAUUAAACCAUCUCUGCAUGCCUGGGGUGAAGCCUACUUAAUCAUGGUGGAUGAUUGUUUUGAUGUGCUCUUGGACUCAGUUUGCCAGAAUUUUAUUGAGUAUUUUUGUGUCGAUAUUCAUAAGGGAAAUUGGUCUGACAUUCUCUUUCUUUGUUUGGUCUUUAUGUGGUUUAAGUAUAAGAGUAAUUGUGGCUUCAUAGAAGGAAUUCGGUAGUGCUCCAUCUGUUUCAAUUUUGUGGAAUAGUUUGGAUAGUAUUGGUAUGAGGUCUUCUAUGAAUGUUUGAUAGAAUUCUGCACUGAACUUGUCUGGACCUGGGCUCUUUUUGGUUGAGAGACCUUUAAUGACUGCUUCUAUUUCGUUAGGAGUUAUGGGGUUGCUUAACUGGUUUAUCUGUUCCUGAUUUAACUUCAGUACCUGGUAUCUGUCUAGGAAAUUGUCCAUUUCCUGCAGAUUUUCAAGUUUUGUUGAAUAUAGGCUUUUGUAGUAGGAUCUGAUGAUUUUUUGAAUUUCCUCUGUUUCUGUAGUUAGGUCUCUCUUUUCAUUUCUGAUUUUGUUAAUUUGUGUCCUCUCAUUAGUCUGGCUAAGGGUUUAUCUAUCUUGUUGAUUGUCUCAAAGAACCAACUUUCGGUUCUGUUGAUUCUUUUUAUGGUCCUUUUUGUUUCUACUUGGUUGAUUUCAGCUCUGAGUUUGAUUAUUUCCUGCCUUCUACUCCUCCUGGGUGUAUUUGCUUCUUUUUGUUCUAGAGCUUUUAGGUGUGCUGUCAAGCUGCUGACAUAUGCUCUUUCCUGUUUCUGCAGGCACUCAGAGCUAUGAGUUUUCCUCUUAGCACAGCUUUCAUUGUGUCCCAUUAGUUUGGGUAUGUUGUACCUUCAUUUUCAUUAAAUUCUAAGAAGUCUUUAAUUUCUUUCUUUAUUUCUUCCUUGACCAGGUUAUCAUUGAGUAGAGCAUUGUUCAAUUUCCAUGUAUAUGUGGGCGUUCUUCCCUUAUUGUUCUUGAAGAUCAGCUUUAGCCUGUGCUGCUCUGAUAGGACGCAUACGAUUAUUUCUAUCUUUCUGUAUCUAUUGAGGCCUGUUUUAUGACCAAUUAUAUGGUCAAUUUUGGAGAAAGUACCAUGAGGUGGUGAGAAGAAUGUAUAUCCUUUUGCUUUAGGAUAGAAUGUUCUAUAAAUAUCUGUUAAGUCCAUUUGGUUCAUUACUUCUCUUAGUCUGUCUAUGUCUCUUUAAUUUUUGUUUCCAUGAUCUGUCCAUUGAUGAGAGUGGGGUGUUGAAAUCUCCUACUAUUAUUGUGUGAGGUACAAUGUGUGUUUUGAGCUUAGUAAGUUUCUUUUAUAUAUGUAGGUGCCCUUGUAUUUGGAGCAUAGAUAUUUAGGAUUGAGAGUUCAUCUUGGUGGAUUUUUCCUUUGAUGAAUAUGAAGUGUCCUUCCUUAUCUUUUUCGAUGACUUUUAGUUGAAAAUCGAUUUUAUUCGAUAUUAGAAUGGCUACUCCAGCUUGCUUCUUCUGACCAUUUGCUUGGAAAGUUGUUUUCCAACCUUUCACUCUGAGGUAGUGUCUGUCUUUGUCUCUGAGGUGUGUUUCCUGUAGGCAGCAGAAUGCAGGGUCCUCAUUGCGUAUCCAGUUUGUUAACCUAUGUCUUUUUAUUGGGGAGAUGAGACCAUUGAUGUUGAGAGAUAUUAAGGAAUAGUGAUUAUUGCUUCUUGUUAUAUUCAUAUUUGGAUGUGAGAUUAUGUUUGUGUGCUUUUCUUCUCUUUGUUUUGUUGCCAAGACGAUUAGUUUCUUGCUUUUUCUAGGGUGUAGCUUGCCUCCUUCUGUUGGGCUUUACCAUUUAUUAUCCUUUGUAGCGCUGGAUUUGUAGAAAGAUAUUGUGUAAAUUUGGUUUUGUCAUGGAAUAUCUUGGUUUCUCCAUCUAUGUUAAUUUAGAGUUUUGCAGGAUACAGUAACCUGGGCUGGCAUUUGUGUUCUCUUAGGGUCUGUAUGACAUCUGUCCAGGAUCGUCUGGCUUUCAUAGUCUCUGGCGAGAAGUCUGGUGUGACUCUGAUUGGUCUGCCUGUAUAUAUUACUUGACUUUUUUCCCUUACUGCUUUUAAUAUUCUUUCUUUAUUUUGUGCAUUUGGUGUUUUGACUAUUAUGUGAUGGGAGGAGUUUCUUUUCUGGUCCAAUUAUUUGGAGUUCUGUAGGCUUCUUGUACAUUUAUGGGCAUCUCUUUCUUUAGGUUAGGGAAGUUUUCUUCUAUGAUUUUGUUGAAGAUAUUUUCUGGUCUUUUGAGCUGGGAGUCUUCACUCUCUUCUAUACCUAUUAUCCUUAGGUUUGAUCUUCUCAUUGAGUCCUGGAUUUCCUGUAUGUUUUGGAUCAGUAGCCUUUUCCAUUUUCCAUUAUGUUUGACAGUUGUGUCGAUGAUUUCUAUGGAAUCUUCUGCUCCUGAGAUUCUCUCUUCUAUCUCUUGUAUUCUGUUGGUGAUGCUUGUAUCUACGGCUCCUUGUCUCUUCCUUUGGUUUUCUAUAUCCAGAGUUGUUUCCCUGUGUUCUUUCUUCAUUGCUUCUAUUUCCAUUUUUAAUUCCUUCAACUGUUUGAUUGUGUUUUCCUGGAAUUCUUUCAGGGAUUUUUGUGAUUCCUCUCUAUAGGCUUUCUACUUGUUUAUUUAUGUUUUCCUGUGUUUCUCUGAGGGAGUUCUUCAUGUCUUUCUUGAAGUCCUCCAGCAUCAUGAUCAAAUAUGAUUUUGAAACUAGAUCUUGCUUUUCUGGUGUGUUUCGAUAUUCCGUGUUUGCUUUGGUGGGAGAAUUGGGCUCCGAUGAUGCCAUGUAGUCUUGGUUUCUGUUGCUUGGGUUCCUGUGCUUGCCUCUCGACAUCAGAUUGUCUCUGGUGUUUCUUUGUUCUGCUAUUUCUAACAGUGGCUAGACAAUCUAUAGGCCUGUGUGUCAGGAAUGUUGUAGACCUGUUUUCCUGUUUUCUCUCAGUCAGUUAUGGGAACUGCGUGUUCUGCUGUCCGGCGUGUAGUCUUUCCUGUCUACUGGUCUUCAACUGUUCCUGUGGGCCUGUGUCCUGAGUCUACUAGGCAGGUUGCUUGGAGCAGAAAAGUUGGUAUUACCUGUGGUCCCGAGGCUUACAUUGCUCGUGGGGGGCUGCUUUGGAGCUCUUGGUGAGGGUGGCAACCAGGAUGGCCUCUGCUGCCUUUUCCGGGAGCCCCCGUGCACCAGGGUCCUAGAUGGCAUUAGGUGUUUUCCUCUGGGGUCAGAAAUGUGGGCAGAGUUUAGUCUCUUCUGGCUUCCCAGGUGUGUCUGCCUCUCUGAAGGUUUAGCUCUCCGUCCCAUGGGAUUUGGGUGCAGGGAACUGUUUAUCCAGUCCCUUCAAGUCUGGGCGGUAUCUAGAGCGCAGGGGACCUGCAGCUCCAGUGCUCCUAUCUUCCGGUUCCCAGAGUCCGUAUACAGUUUCCUCUUGGGCCAGGGAUGUGGGCAGGGGUGGGCAGUAUUGGUGGUCUCUCCCGGUCUGCAACCUCAGGAGUGCCUACCUGUCCGGGUGGUGAGCUGUCUCUCUCCCAAGGGGUUUGGGAGCAGUGAGCUGUGGGCUGAACUCUAUCUUUAAGCACUCCACUACUGAACUUGGUCCUCAGCCCUCUUUUCUUUACCUCCUAUUUUGAUCAGAAUGAUCUUGAUCAUUCUGUAAACCAGAUAAGUAGGCGUUGAACUUGUGAUCGUUCUUCCUCUGGCUCUGGAAUAGCAGGGACCACAGGUGUGUGUCAUCAGGCCUAGCAUUAAGGUUUUCGUUUGUUUUUAAUUUAACAAACUCUUCACAGCUUCCUUUUCCAUAGCUGUAACACUGCAACUAAGAAUACCUUACUCACAGGUAAAAAUUUUUUAUGGGUAAGGAAUUUUCAAACUGUGCCAAGGCAUAUAAAUAUAAAUCAUUAUUACUAUUUUGGGAAAAGGAUGGCAGCAAUUUAACUGUGCUGAGCCAAUUUCCGUUGCAUUUAGGACCAGGAUAAUUCAUUCAUUGAAAAUGAGAGGGAGUAGGUUUAUGGAGUUAAGAUAUAACUGAUAGAUUUGUAAUACAGACAAAAAAAAAAAAAAAAAAACCCUUUGUCAGAGAAAUAACCUGCGCUCCUGCCUGAGAAAAGCAUCAAGCUUUUCAGGAGAUGGCACUGUCAUAGCUUUGUUUACUUUUAAAUCUUCCACAUCAUACACUUUAUCUUAGGGAACUAUGAUUCAUGAAAGCACAGCUUAUAAUUCAACAGACUUGAGAGUAGCCAUUUUUCGAGUCUCUGCUUUGUUCAAGACAACUGCUAGGGACCAGAUAGAAAAGCCAAGGGCUGCUUGACUUUCACCAUAAAAGCAGCACUGGGGCAUCUAGGUUUACAAUUGUGUUUGUUGUAAUAAACCACAUUUUAUAAGGAACAGGUGUAGCUGAUUUAUAACCUCAAUUGGGUGAGGCUGGGCUCUCGAGCUGACUAUAAAGGGUCUGAGAAGAUUUAAGAGAUUGAGUGACAGCCAGGAUGAGUCUAGGAACUAACUCUUAAAGGUGUCAUUUUGGCAAAUGAUAAGUUACUAAAAUAUAUUCUUGUACUGAUAAGAAGUUUGUCUAUAAGUAGAAGUGAGUUUAUUUAGUGAAAAUAAUUCUCAUUAUUUAAUUAGAAAGUAUUGAUCUUUGGACAUUCUGUGAAUUCAGUUGGCUGUAAACACAUAGCCUGACUUCCUGGGCCAUUCACAUUGGCUUCUUUCCCCCAGCAAAGGCCACUGGCAUCUUUGGAGAUGGUUGUAAUCUACUCAGACUAUUUAAAACAUUGUGUGCUUAACUGAUGUCCUUUUUAAUGACCACAAUUAAUUUAGUGAUCAAAAAUCAGCUGCCGUAUCUCAAAGGAAGAGACGGAGGAUAAAAAGAAAAAAGGGAAGGAAGGAAAGAGGGAUGCUCUGAGCUUCCUCUUUCUUCACAUCCCUUCUCUGUGAGCCUCCCCAUGCUUGCUGCUUCUGCUCCCUGAAUUGUCUACUCUCUACCUGCCUCUCAUACUUCAGAACUGUCAGCUGCUCUCAGAGCGUGCUCAUCUCAGAACUUAGCAUUUCUGACAGAAAUAAAAGGGACAUUUCCCUACCUCAGUUUUUAUAUUAUACUCAGUACACUAUCAUAAUAACCAGAAAGGAAACUCGGUGGAGGGGGAGAGGCCUGCAACUUCCCUUAAAAUGAUAGUUCCCUUUGUAAUUUCCUUUAUUUAUUUCAUUACGUAUUUAUUAAAAAGCUUCCUGUGUCUAGGCUCGACACCUACUUUGGGGGACGUUCCAGGGCACGAAGGUGAUCCACAUGGCUCUUCAUUUGAGUGUGGGAAAAACAUAAGUUAAAAAACCAUUAUGUUAUGUGGGGGAAUGUUAGAUCCAAAGAAGAAAUAAGAUAGUUUAAGUUUGAGGAGUGCAGGGUUGGAUGGAUGAAGUAGUAGUUUAAAGCACAGUCUUGUUCUAUAAGAAAAUGUAUUUUCUUCCCCCUGGGGAAAAAGACCAAGGCAAAAAAAACAAAAAACAAAAAACAAAAAACAAAAACAAACCAGAAUAAUAAUUAAAAAGAGAUAGAUACUAGUAAAAGGAAAAAAGAUUAAUAAAGACGACAACAAAGCAAAACCUCUAAAUACAACCAGAGAUCUAGAAUUGUCUUUUCACAGCAUUCAUACAUCACUUUACAUAGCUAAUACUCACCAGAAGCCGAUGUUAGUUCAUAAAUGGAAAGUCGAGGAAAUACACACACACACACACACACACACACACACACACACACACACACGCACAUACACGCACAUACACGCACACACACACACACACACACACACACACACACACACACUCACUCAUACACACACAAAAGAACAUACCAAGAGAGAGAUGUCGAACUUUGAGAAUUUGAAGCAAAUUUGAAUUAUGCAAAGGAACUCUGAGACAAAAUCUAUAAACAAAUCAAGAUGAAAAGAGUUGGUUGGAAUUGGCAAGAUGGUUCAGUAGGAGCUGGCCGCCAGGGCUGACUGACAGAGAACCCACACACUGUAGGGGGAGCACCUCCAUAGGCCUCUCUCUUUCACUCUCUGUCUAAGAAAAAAUUCUAAGGUCUAGAAACACAAAGCCCUGCUCACCCUCCCGGAGAAGACAUGAGCACAGCAACUCGAGAAACAAACAUACACAGUGAAAGUCUGACUAGAGAACACAAAGCUCUGUGUUAGUCCCACUGAGAGGCUACCCCAACUUCGGAAUGGGUGGCCCAGUUCUCCCCUUUGGAGGACAGGGGCUUGGGUGUAUGGCUAGUACAAUUGGAAAGAAUGGCUGGAUCCAUUUACUAUGCAGCCCGUGUUGACCUGUGAAUGUACUUACAGUUAGCAGUAGACAGGCAUAGAUUUGAAUUCAUUCAUGGGGUCAAAUUAGUCAAUCAGUCUCUGAAUCUAUUUCCCUAAUGCUGCAUUUCCGGUGUUUAUACAGAGUAUGUUUAGAAGACCACCCUUGAGUUAAACUGAGUUUUAUGAUAUUGAUAUUUUUAUCUCAAUGGUAUUUAAAUAUGAACAGUAUUAUGCAGUAUGACCUGGCAUAUACUGCCCCCCCCCCAUGAUAGGCAUCAGAAUUGACAUCUUCCUUUGCUAUUUUAUUUAUUGUGAGAUAUGGUCACAUUAUUUAGCCCUGGCUGACUUGGAACUCACAAGAGAGCUCCCAGAAUGCCUAAUCCUAUGCUGUCUCAAAGAGGAUGUCCCCACCCUGCCCCCCAGGAAGCCUCCCCACUCCCUGGGGCCUGAGGUCUCUUUGAGGAUGCUUGAAUCUCACUUGGGAGGGAGAAGAAAGCAAUCAUGGGAGGCAGAGGGAGGGAGGGACCUGGGCAGGAGAGGGAAGGGGAAAAGAGGAACAUAAUCAGGCUAUAAAAAAAAAAAACCACUUGAAAGUAGAAUAACAUUUGUACAUUGAUGAUGCUCUCUAGAUGUCCAGAUGACUGUCAUGCCAAGUGCAUUGUUACUUGAAGACUUGAAGGAGGAGGAGGAUGGGGAGAAGGAGGGGGGAGGAGGGAGAAAAAGAAGAAGAAGAAGAAGAAGAAGAAGAAGAAGAAGAAGAAGAAGAAGAAGAAGAAGAAGAAGAAGAAGAAGAAGAAGAAGAAUCUGAGAGAUGCUCAGUGGUUAAAAGCAUGGGCUGCUCUUGCAGAGAGGACCUGGGUUCAUUUCCCAGUGCCCACACAGUGGCUCACAACUGUUGUGGUAAAAAUAUAAAAAGUGCUGGCUCCGGUGGGCCACAUGGCAUCUGCAGGGUAUUUUCAUUUUAAAGAGCAAAGUGUCUCAACCCGACUCUCCAUCUCACACUGCCUCCAGCUACUCUCUGAGCCCGCAGCAGCCACCCUCUUGCAACUCUCUUGCUGUGGACUCUGCUCACAUUCCCAGCAUCCACUCCUGGGAUUAUAGUCGCAACCCCCAGUAACUCGUUAAGGUCAAAACUUAAUAAGCUUGUAAUUUAGCAAUCAGAUUUAUGUCUUAAAUUCUCAUUCUGCAAAACAUCCACAGUAAACUCACAACCAAUUGAUAAUGAUAUAAACCUAAAUAAGACAAAUUGUCCUAUAAAAAUCCAUCCCGUAUGAAUGUCCCUUUAAGGCUGCACAGAUCUGGGUCAUCCUUCUUCUUCAUCUUUGUUCUUUUCUUUUCCCCUCUACCACCUUACAAAAACUCUGUCUCCGCCUUACUUUUUCACUGCCCAAUCUCAGGCCUUAUCUUGUGACAGCUCUCACCUGCAUAUAGACAUCAACUAUACACAACCACCUUUAACUCCAGUUCUAGGUAAUCCAGUUCCCUCUUCUAGCCUUUUUGUGUACCAGGCACAGGUGUGGUGCACAGACCUGUAUGCAAGCAAACAUUCAUAAAAUAAAAAUAAAUUAAAAAAAACACCAGCUUUAUUGAGGUGUACUUCACAUUUCACAGAGCUGAUCUUUUUCAUUGAACAUUAUAGUGGUUCUUAAUCUAAUUACAGAAUUGUGCCACUAUCAUCAGUUUCUAGCUUUAAAACAUCUUCAUCACCCCUAAAAUAAACCCUGCGUACCUAUUAGUAAUUAAUCUCCACCCCACUCUUUCUCUAAUUGGAAGGUGUCUUAGUUGGUGUUCUAUUGCUGUGGAGAGACACAAUGACCAAAAUGACGAUGACAGAAAGCAUCUCAUUGGUGCUUGCUUACAGUUUGAGGUUCAGUCUGUCUUAUCUUGGCAGGAAGUAUGGUGGCCUGCAGGUGGACAUGGUGCUGGCAAAGAGCUCAGAGUUCUAUAUCCUGAUCUGCAGGUAGCUGGAAUAAAGAACCACUGGGCCUUGAUUGGGUUUUUGAAACCUCAGAGUCCACCCAAGUGACACAUCUCCUCCAACAGGGCCAUACCUCCUAAUCCUUUCAAAUAGCUCCAUUUCAUAAGCAUUGACAUGUGUAAGCCUAUGGGGGCCAUUCUCUUUCACACCGCCACAGCAAGUAAUGAUUUAUUUUUUGAAUCUAUAAAUUUACUUAUACUAGGCAUUUAUUGACAGACAAAUAGAAUCUCACAGUCUGUGGGGUUUUUCUAAUGAUGGAUUUUUAUUUGCUUAAUGUUCCUGAGGUUUGUACAGGCUGUACAGCAUUGAAGUGGAAAUUUCUGGUUUGCUUGGAGACCCAGUUGUGUCACGUGGUGUUUUUCUGGAAACUGUUUUAUGAGAGGAUGCCUUUGCUGGGGCAGACACGUGGGAAGCUGUUUUGCUGAGAACAGACAGGUGGUAUUUUUCUGGGAGCAGCCUGGAAAAGGGGCAUGUGAUGUUUUGCUAGAGUGGAAGCUUGAGAGAACACAUGAGGUUUGCAAAGAGUAUAAAUAUAACCCAAUAACCAACAUAAAAUGGACAGUGCUAGGCGGCAUUGGUUCACCUUGCCACUCUUUGCCGAUCAUCAUUUGCCAUGACUUUGUAGAGAGAAAUUACCAAAUAAUCAAAUAACUAAAGAACUUCUGGUGGUAUUUCAGAGGCUUCUUGCUACUUCUGAGGUGGCCUCGGGCCAAUUGGCAAAGCCUCAAGGUUUCUUCUGGAUCAAACUUCCCUUGCUGAUUCAUGGAUAGUGUUUGCCGAUUCCUGUGAACUGAAGUGCUGACAAUGCAGAUUGGACUCACCCCAAAAAACUAUUUCUAACCAGGUCUUCAUCCCUCUUUGCCCUAUUAACCUUUCCUUUCCACUAACUCUGGUGGGCCGUGCGCUAGAAGGGAGGUUAAGGCACUUAAGUACACUUACUAAUGUAGGAUUCGAAAAAUAUAAGUCUGUACAGCAUCCUUUCUUUUUGGAUGACUAUUAUUCCAUUAAAUAGGACAUUUCUUUAUAUUGUUUACUCAUGGAAAUUUACACUGUCUCUCUUUACACUAUUUUAAUACCAAUGCCAUAAGUAUUCUUCUACAUGGUUUUGUGAAGAUGUAUCUUUAGUUCUUUUAGGAACGUGAUCGCGAUUUCAUGUAAUAACUGUAUGUUUAAUACUUUAAAUAAACUGUGUUCA